rnacentral:rRNA from 1 species
GAUGAACGCUGGCGGCGUGCCUAAUACAUGCAAGUCGAGCGAACAGACGAGGAGCUUGCUCCUUUGACGUUAGCGGCGGACGGGUGAGUAACACGUGGAUAACCUACCUAUAAGACUGGGAUAACUUCGGGAAACCGGAGCUAAUACCGGAUAACAUGUUGAACCGCAUGGUUCAACAGUGAAAGACGGUCUUGCUGUCACUUAUAGAUGGAUCCGCGCCGCAUUAGCUAGUUGGUAAGGUAACGGCUUACCAAGGCAACGAUGCGUAGCCGACCUGAGAGGGUGAUCGGCCACACUGGAACUGAGACACGGUCCAGACUCCUACGGGAGGCAGCAGUAGGGAAUCUUCCGCAAUGGGCGAAAGCCUGACGGAGCCACGCCGCGUGAGUGAAGAAGGUCUUCGGAUCGUAAAACUCUGUUAUUAGGGAAGAACAAAUGUGUAAGUAACUAUGCACGUCUUGACGGUACCUAAUCAGAAAGCCACGGCUAACUACGUG